AGAAAAAGUAGUUCCAACUAAACCGUGUCAUUUAUACAAGAUUUCAAUAGUACUUCCCAUUGUGUUGCUGUUGAUAUUUUUACCUCAAAACAUGUACUAUCAAAGCAUCAACAUUUUGAUUUGAAAAUCAAUUUUAGAGCAUUAAGAUCUGGCACUCCUUUUAUUGAUAUUCAAGUAUCAUUCCGCACAUCUUAACUAGUCUGAAGUUGCCAAGUACUCAUGGAUGGACGAUCCACCUCCAGCUACACGAUCACCUGGCCGCUGGCGCUACAUCCAUCCUACUGGUCUCUUUUUGAUAACAAGAUGUGGAGUUGACUCUUCAUAUCAUCCAGCUGUUGAUGGCCUAUUUUGAUGAAAUAAGAGGUGCAGUGAUACUCCUUGCAGAUCUGUCUGCCACUGCAGGCGAUGUGGAGCGGACACCGACCCUCCCGACCAGUCCACGACUGAUACUGCUAGUUGCUGGUGACAAAGUCAGAAUAAAACGUUAGAUGAUCAGCAUGGAAGGUGAUGUCAUCUGCGAAGGCGUCCAACCUAGCUUCAUCUAAGGGCUUGCUGCCCUUCUUGCCACCUACUAUGUGUUCAACUUGGAAUACCAAGAGGAAGGUGCUCGGACAUUGGAAUUUGUUCAAAGCGAUUCAUUGGCAUUAACCCUGAGAGAGGAACACAGGCUAGCCAGGGAAAGGUGAUGUCCAAGAAGACCAGGAAGCUGGUCCAGAAAAAGGCAGCAACUGUAAAACCUCACGUAGCCACCCUUAUAAAAAUUCUCACAGACUUUGGGGGGGCUUUAUGUUGCCCGACCACUGAACACUGGGUAUGUCAUGUUCAGUUAGUUUAGUAAAUUGUGCAGUUCAGUUUUGUUUUAAAAAAAUUUCCAUUGCACAUGAUCCCAACUUGUUUUGUUCUAAAUGUUAAAAAUGUUCUUUGAAAAUGUGUGUGCCCUCUCUGAUGGUGAAGCAGAAGCACUAUGUAUGGAGGUGUGUGUGGGGGGGAUGUUAACAUCAUAUCCAAAAGGACAUUUUCAUUUUGAUCGUUUUGAUCGUUAUCUGGAUGUAGGAACCACGUUCUCUGAUGCCAUCGUUUGUUCCGAUUGCAGGAGUUGCUUAACUUUGUUUUAAAUGUUAAAAUGUUAAUUUAAAAUGUGUGUGCUCUCUCGGAUGGUGCAACAGAGGCACUAUGUUUGGGGGUGUGGGUGUGGCCUGGUGGGAGGAUAUCUAAAUGGACAUUUUCAUUUUGAUUAUCUAGUUCUAUGGACUGCUCCGAUGCUAAAGUUGCUUAACAUUGUUCUAAAUAUUAAAAUGCUUCACUGAAAAAAAGAAGAAUGCAC